rnacentral:lncRNA from 1 species
CAGUAGCAAUGGUGCCUGUCCUGUUGUCCCUGCCUCUCCUUCUGGGUCCUGCAGUCCUUCAGGAGACUGGGUCUUAUUCUCUGAUCUUCCUCUACACCGGGUUGUCCAGGCCCAGCAAAGGCCUUCUGAGGUUUCAAGCCACCGCAUUUCUCAACGAUCAGGCCUUCUUCCACUACAACAGCAACAGUGGGAAGGCAGAGCCCGUGGAACCCUGGAGCCAUGUGGAAGGAAUGGAGGACUGGGAGAAGGAAAGCCAGCUUCAGAGAGCCAGGGAGGAGAUCUUCCUCGUGACCCUGAAAGACAUCAUGGACUAUUACGAGGACAGUACAGGCACCAGUGACAUUUCAUCUCCAUACCCUGACCCCCUUGAGAGGGAAUCAGAUUCAACACGACCCAAGUGGAGAGCAGAAUUCUCAAGUGGAGAGAAGAAUUCUCAUUCAUUCAACAAAACAGGGUCUCACACCUUUCAGGGAAUGUUUGGUUGUGAGAUCACAAAUAACAGAAGUAGUGGAGCAGUCUGGAGGUAUGCCUACGAUGGAGAAGAUUUCAUCGAAUUCAACAAGGAAAUCCCAGCCUGGAUCCCCUUAGACCCAGCAGCCGCAAACACCAAGCUGAAGUGGGAGGCAGAAAAGGUCUAUG